CUUCCCUUGAGCGGGGACAACGUUUCGAAAGGAACGCUAAUACCGCAUAAGUUCUCCGAGACUCCGGUCUUGGAGAGGAAAGCUAGGUAGCAAUAUCCGGCACUCGAGGAGGAGCCUGCGUCGCAUCAGCUAGUUGGUGGGGUAAUGGCCUACCAAGGCUAAGACGCGUAGCUGGUCUGAGAGGAUGAUCAGCCACACUGGGACUGAGACACGGCCCAG
rnacentral:rRNA from 1 species